CAGCGCCGCGGGAAUACAGAGGGUGCGAGCGUUAAUCGGAUUUACUGGGCGUAAAGCGUGCGUAGGCGGCUUCUUAAGUCGGAUGUGAAAUCCCUGAGCUUAACUUAGGAAUUGCAUUCGAUACUGGGAAGCUAGAGUAUGGGAGAGGAUGGUAGAAUUCCAGGUGUAGCGGUGAAAUGCGUAGAGAUCUGGAGGAAUACCGAUGGCGAAGGCAGCCAUCUGGCCUAAUACUGACGCUGAGGUACGAAAGCAUGGGGAGCAAACAGGAUUAGAUACCCCAGUAGUCCCUGUCUCUUAUACC
rnacentral:rRNA from 1 species